rnacentral:rRNA from 1 species
UACGUAGGGUGCAGGCGUUAAUCGGAAUUACUGGGCGUAAAGCGUGCGCAGGCGGUUUCUUAAGUCAGAUGUGAAAGCCCCGGGCUUAACCUGGGAACUGCGUUUGAAACUGGGACACUUGAGUGUGGCAGAGGGGGGUGGAAUUCCACGUGUAGCAGUGAAAUGCGUAGAUAUGUGGAGGAACACCGAUGGCGAAGGCAGCCCCCUGGGUUAACACUGACGCUCAUGCACGAAAGCGUGGGGAGCAAACAGG